rnacentral:rRNA from 1 species
GUGGGGAAUCUUGCGCAAUGGGCGAAAGCCUGACGCAGCCAUGCUGCGUGAAUGAUGAAGGUCUUAGGAUUGUAAAAUUCUUUCACCGGGGACGAUAAUGACGGUACCCGGAGAAGAAGCCCCGGCUAACUUCGUGCCAGCAGCCGCGGUAAUACGAAGGGGGCUAGCGUUGCUCGGAAUUACUGGGCGUAAAGGGCGCGUAGGCGGACAGUUUAGUCAGAGGUGAAAGCCCAGGGCUCAACCUUGGAAUUGCCUUUGAUACUGGCUGUCUUGAGUACGGGAGAGGGGAGUGGAACUCCGAGUGUAGAGGUGAAAUUCGUAGAUAUUCGGAAGAACACCAGUGGCGAAGGCGACUCACUGGCCCGUUACUGACGCUGAGGCGCGAAAGCGUGGGGAGCAAACAGGAUUAGAUACCCGAGUAGUCC